ensembl:rRNA 5S_rRNA 5S ribosomal RNA
GUCUAAGGCCAUAUCACCCUGAUCUCGGAAACUAAGCAGGGUCGGGUCUGGCCAGGACUUGGAUGGGAGACCGCCUGGGAAAACCGGGUGCUGUAGGCU